UCGUUGGGUGGCGGAGAUGUCGGGGUAAUGUGAGCUGAGCGAGUUCCAGUACCGCGGCCUUUGCGCCGGGCCCCUAAGAGAGCCCAUUAACUUGGAGAGCCUAAUGAAGAGUGUCGAUUGCCCCCUGCGGAGCCCCCACACUUGUUCUUGGCCCUCUUGGCUCCUCUCCGCCUGGGUGUUGACCGCAGAGUUGCUCAACAGUAGCGUUUUACAUGGACGUGCGCACAGCGCCCUCCCCCCCAAUAUGCACCCCGGGGUUCCCAAACACCCUAUCGCAAAUGAACUGAUUGGUAUCAGCCCCGAGCUAGACGUAGGAUUACCAAACGGAGCACGAGGACCAACGACAUCAUCAGGUGAUGUCUUGCGUGUUCGAGAGUUGGAUUUCAGUAGGCAUAGUUGUACAAAGUCAUCAAUCUCACUCACUCUUCCAGAAUCAUCGAAGUCCAGUGGCAGGACAAAUUUUAGAACAACUGGAUGGCCUGGGAUGCAUUGAAUGACCUUGGCAUCUUGGAUGUCUAACCAAGCUCUAAGCUUCCUUCAGCAGCCUUCUUUGCCUUGAAACAAAUCGUUCUCAUCCACAAGCUUGCGGUGGACAUACUCCUAACUCACCAACCAGUUAUGAGGCUUGUUGGUUACCUUCAAUCUGGUUUAGCCUGUCUGCUGAGAUGGUUUCCAGAAGAGCUGGAAAGUGGCCACUGCACAUUCUACAGCUUCUUGGAGCCACAGGUGGUUCACAGCUUUUCUUUUAAUCCCUGCCUGAGAUCACCCACGGUUAUGGAGCCUGUGGCAGGCUUCCCCUCUCUAAUUUAACACUCCUUAGUCCCACCCUUC